GAGUUUGAUCCUGGCUCAGGAUGAACGCUAGCGGCAGGCUUAACACAUGCAAGUAGAACGGUAACAGAGAGAGCUUGCUCUCUGCUGACGAGUUGCGAACGGGUGCGUAACGCGUAUGCAACCUACCCAUAACAGGGGGAUAGCCCAUAGAAAUGUGGAUUAAUACCCCAUAACAUCAUUUUCUGGCAUCAGAAAAUGAUUAAAACUCCGGUGGUUAUGGAUGGGCAUGCGUGACAUUAGCUAGUUGGUGAGGUAACUGCUCACCAAGGCAACGAUGUCUAGGGGUUCUGAGAGGAUGAUCCCCCACACUGGUACUGAGACACGGACCAGACUCCUACGGGAGGCAGCAGUGAGGAAUAUUGCGCAAUGGAGGAAACUCUGACGCAGCCAUGCCGCGUGCAGGAAGACUGCCCUAUGGGUUGUAAACUGCUUUUAUAUAGGAAGAACUACAGCUACGUGUAGCUGUUUGACGGUACUAUACGAAUAAGGACCGGCUAACUCCGUGCCAGCAGCCGCGGUAAUACGGAGGGUCCAAGCGUUAUCCGGAUUUAUUGGGUUUAAAGGGUCCGUAGCGGGGUCAUUAAGUCAGUGGUGAGAUCCUACAGCUCAACUGUAGAACUGCCAUUGAAACUGAUGACCUUGAGUAUAAUUGAAGUGGGCGGAAUGUGUCAUGUAGCGGUGAAAUGCUUAGAUAUGCCACAGAACACCGAUUGCGAGGCAGCUCACUAAGUUAUAACUGACGCUGAGGGACGAAAGCGUGGGUAGCGAACAGGAUUAGAUACCUGGUAGUCCACGCCGUAAACGAUGUAUACUCGUUGCUGGCGAUACACAGUCAGUGACCAAGCGAAAGUAUUAAGUAUACCACCCGGGGGAGUACGCUCGCAGARUGAAA
rnacentral:rRNA from 1 species